rnacentral:rRNA from 1 species
AUACGUAGGGCGCAAGCGUUAAUCGGAAUUACUGGGCGUAAAGCGUGCGCAGGCGGUUUUGUAAGACAGUGGUGAAAUCCCCGGGCUCAACCUGGGAACUGCCGUUGUGACUGCAAGGCUGGAGUGCGGCAGAGGGGGAUGGAAUUCCGCGGGUAGCAGUGAAAUGCGUAGAUAUGCGGAGGAACACCGAUGGCGAAGGCAAUCCCCUGGGCCUGGACUGACGCUCAUGCACGAAAGCGUGGGGAGCAAACAGGAUUAGAUACCCUGGUAGUCCACGCCCUAAACGAUGUCAACUGGUUGUUGGGGAUUUAUUUUCUCAGUAACGAAGCUAACGCGUGAAGUUGACCGCCUGGGGAGUACGGCCUCAAGGUUAAAACUCAAAUGAAGUGACGGGG